UAGGGAAUCUUCCACAAUGGACGCACGUCUGAUGGAGCAACGCCGCGUGAGUGAAGAAGGUUUUCGGAUCGUAAAGCUCUGUUGUUGGUGAAGAAGGAUAGAGGGAGUAACUGGUCUUUAUUUGACGGUAAUCAACCAGAAAGUCACGGCUAACUACGUGCCAGCAGCCGCGGUAAUACGUAGGUGGCAAGCGUUGUCCGGAUUUAUUGGGCGUAAAGCGAGCGCAGGCGGAAUGAUAAGUCUGAUGUGAAAGCCCACGGCUCAACCGUGGAACUGCAUCAGAAGCUGUCAUGCUUGAGUGCAGAAGAGGAGAGUGGAAUUCCAUGUGUAGCGGUGGAAUGCGUAGAUAUAUGGAAGAACACCAGUGGCGAAGGCGGCUCUCUGGUCUGCAACUGACGCUGAGGCUCGAAAGCAUGGGUAGCGAAAAGG
rnacentral:rRNA from 1 species